GGGGCCUUAGCUCAGCUGGGAGAGCGCCUGCUUUGCACGCAGGAGGUCAGCGGUUCGAUCCGCAGCUAGGCCCCCACA
rnacentral:tRNA from 1 species